CUUGGUUGUUUGUUUGUAAUGACAGACUGAAACCUGUGAAAUGCCACUGACCCCUCAACCUACACCUACAUGUCAGUCAAACUCCAAACCUUUGAACAAGAAUGUCACGAUGAUCUCCAGGUUUCCCAGAGACGAUGGGUUGAGGAGGAAGUGGAAGUUUGUCGGCUUAGACCUGGUGUCAUUCCAUCAGUGUUAAACUUCCCGGCUCAUCUUGGAAGAGUACGUGCCAGAAAGACCACGACCAAGCAGCCUUGAGAUCUUAGGCAGCAUCUCCCUCAGGUCCCUCUCUAUCUCCCCACACAUCCACCAACCACUGGAACACAUCUCCAAAGUUCUGCCGGGCCAGCUCAGCUUCCCCUCAGAAGAAGUGCCGCCACCUGCCAGAUGAAGGAGCCUUUUGAGAGGCAGCUGGCAUCGUGAUUGGACUGUACUUUGGUCUGUUCCAGUCCAGCUUCAGCUCCAGAGACGGCAGGCAGGACGAGUCAACGGAGGCCGGGUGGACGAAGGCAUGCAGCUGAGUACAAUCCAGAAAACAACAGAGGAGGAGUUCAGGGCCAGAACAAGCAGAGUAGCAUUGUAUGUCUCUUAGAAAACAUCAUAGUAUAGCCUUUGGUAUGAAAAAACGCCAUCAUAUACAUCGUAUAUUGUAGAAAUAACAAGUUAAAGCAAAGAGACAUACAUUGUAGAAUUGUAGUAAUUGUGGGCUGACUGAUUUACUGAUUAUCAGUAUUUUACUUUUUACUGAUUUACGGUAAUAAAUACAUUUUAAAAUGGUGCUACUUUGGCUCUGAACCUUUAUCUACCUGUGGUCGCUCUGUCUUCUGGAUUGAUUUGAUUGGUUAUACGUCACAAAUAAAACUCCUUUAACUUAACAUCUGUAAACAAAACAAAAACGUAUCAACAAAGUUUUCUGUUAGAGUUUGUGUUCUUCUAAGUUUAACUCAAGAUUUUAAAUACUUUCAUUUACUGCAAAUGAAUAUCUACUCCAAAUGUCUCACAAAUAAUCAUUAUCAGCCUUAAAAACCCACAAAACACCCCUCUAUACUCGACACUUAGUACAGUCUGGUUCCCCCUUCUAUAAAUCUGCUUGGAAUCUUCCACUUCCUGUUUGUCAAAGUGGCCUUCUACCUGGACAGGUUUUGUUGGAGCUCAUGCAACAAACAUUUUGGGUAACUGCACUUUAAUAUGGAUGGAUGACACUGAAUUAG